CACGGAUGACGGUUUUGUAGGGCAGCCGACGAGAGGAUUGAGCUGUUCUUCAGAGAUGGACGACCUGGAUAGGACGAUCCUGAUUGACAUCAUGUGGAGGGAUGCACUUGGUAUUGCUUCGAGGAGGAGGAGCCCUUCUGAGGAGGACCAGCUUUUUGAGGAA